CGGCUCGUCACAUCCUGGGGCUGUAGGCGGUCCCAAGGGUUGGGCUGUUCGCCCAUUAAAGUGGCACGCGAGCUGGGUUCAGACCGGCGUGAGCCAGGUCGGUCCCUAUCUGCUGUGGGCGUAGCAAAUUUGAGAGGAUUCUUCUUUAGUACGAGAGGAUUAGGAAGGACAUGCCCCUGGUGCGCCAGUUGGACCGCUAGGUCCACCGCUGGGUAGCUAAGCAUGGCAGGGAUAACCGCUGAAAGCAUCUAAGCGGGAAGCCUUCCUCAAGAUAAGAUUUGCAUGCACUUUUUGUGCGAGAGACCCCUUGUAGACUACAAGGUUGAUAGGCAGGAGCUGUAAGGGCUGAGAGGCUUUAAGGUGACCUGUACUAACGGUCGACUGCUUGAUCGU
rnacentral:rRNA from 1 species